rnacentral:rRNA from 1 species
AUUGAACGCUGGCGGCAUGCUUUACACAUGCAAGUCGAACGGUAACAGGCCGCAAGGUGCUGACGAGUGGCGAACGGGUGAGUAAUGCAUCGGAACGUGCCCAGUCGCGGGGGAUAACUACUCGAAAGAGUAGCUAAUACCGCAUACGAUCUAUGGAUGAAAGCGGGGGACCGUAAGGCCUCGCGCGAUUGGAGCGGCCGAUGUCAGAUUAGGUAGUUGGUGGGGUAAAGGCUCACCAAGCCAACGAUCUGUAGCUGGUCUGAGAGGACGACCAGCCACACUGGGACUGAGACACGGCCCAGACUCCUACGGGAGGCAGCAGUGGGGAAUUUUGGACAAUGGGCGCAAGCCUGAUCCAGCAAUGCCGCGUGCAGGAAGAAGGCCUUCGGGUUGUAAACUGCUUUUGUACGGAACGAAACGGCUCUGGUUAAUACCCGGGGCUAAUGACGGUACCGUAAGAAUAAGCACCGGCUAACUACGUG